rnacentral:rRNA from 1 species
GGGGAAACCCUGACGCAGCGACGCCGUGUGAGGGAAGAAGGCUUUCGGGUCGUAAACCUCUGUCGGGAAGGAAGAACCCCCCAGGUCCGAAUAGGGCCUGGGGCUGACGGUACUUCCAAAGGGAGCCCCGGCCAACUCCGUGCCAGCAGCCGCGGUAAUACGGAGGGUGCAAGCGUUAAUCGGAAUCACUGGGCGUAAAGAGCACGUAGGCGGCCUUGCAAGUCAGAUGUGAAAUCCAACGGCUUAACCGUUGAACUGCAUUUGAAACUGCAAGGCUAGAGUAUGGGAGAGGUAGGUGGAAUUCUCGGUGUAGGGGUAAAAUCCGUAGAGAUCGAGAGGAAUACUCAUUGCGAAGGCGACCUGCUGGAACAUUACUGACGCUGAGGUGCGAAAGCGUGGGGAGCAAACA